rnacentral:rRNA from 1 species
UGGGGAAUAUUGCGCAAUGGGGGAAACCCUGACGCAGCAACGCCGCGUGCGGGAUGAAGGCUUUCGGGUUGUAAACCGCUUUCAGCAGGGAAGAUAUAAGACGGUACCUGCAGAGGAAGCCCCGGCUAACUACGUGCCAGCAGCCGCGGUAAUACGUAGGGGGCCAGCGUUAUCCGGAUGCAUUGGGCGUAAAGCGCGCGCAGGCGGGCUCGUAAGCGGGACCUCUAAUCUCGGGGCUCAACCCCGAGCCGGGUUCCGAACUGCGAACCUCGAGUGCGGUAGGGGAGGUCGGAAUUCCCGGUGUAGCGGUGGAAUGCGCAGAUAUCGGGAAGAACACCGACGGCGAAGGCAGACCUCUGGGCCGUCACUGACGCUGAGGCGCGAAAGCUAGGGGAGCGAACAGG